UCCCCGACUCUCCACGCCUUAUGGGUAGUGGUCGUGCAGGAUAUAAAUAGGAGUGCACCCUGCUGUAAACCAGUUGGACGAAGUCGAGAUGGUUUUGUUAGUGUGGAAGGUGGUGGUGGUCUUUGGUAUCCUGGCGGUGGGAUCUCAGGGCUCUCUCCCACAGCCCCGGUCACAGCGUCGGGUGUCUCCAGGGCGCUAUGACCGAUCAGAGAACUUAGCAUCGAUCCCAGGGACGUCUGUAGAGGCGCAGAGUGAGGAGCGCUUUCAGGAGGUCCGGCGGGGUGACCAGAGAAGCGUCCUGCUGCAGCGGGGCGCGCGGAAAGAUGCCGACAUCUACCUGAGGCACGAGGGACUGAGAGAUGACGCAGCAACAAGAACUAAUUGCAAAAAUCGCCCUAUUGACCUGGUUUUCAUCAUAGACAGUUCCCGCAGUGUGCGCCCUGCUGAAUUUAAAAAGGCCAAGGAGUUCCUGCAGGCCAUGGUGGACAGCCUGGUUAUUGGCAGAGAUGCCACUCGUGUCGGCCUCGUUAAUUAUGCGAGCACAGUCAAAAUUGAGUUUCUCCUCAACACUUUUUUUGACAAAUCCUCUGUGAUGCAGGCACUCGGCCAAGUUGAGCCCUUAGCUUCAGGCACCAUGACGGGCAUGGCCAUCAGGACCGCCAUAGAGAAAGCCUUCACCAAGGAGGCCGGGGCCCGAUCCGCUUCCAUGAACAUUGCUAAGGUGGCUAUUAUAGUGACUGAUGGGAGACCUCAGGACAAGGUGGAGGAGGUGUCAGCCACAGCCAGAGCAUCUGGGAUUGAAAUCUAUGCAGUGGGAGUUGACAGAGCUGAUAUGGCUUCCCUGAAACUUAUGGCCAGCCAGCCACAUGAUGACCAUGUCUUCUAUGUGGAGACCUAUGGUGUGAUCGAGAAGCUUACGUCUAAGUUUAGGGAAACUUUGUGUGGUAAGGAUGAUGAUAAUGGGAGUGCAGAUAUUGAUAACGGACUAGGCCUAAAUGGCAGGAAAGACGAUAAUAAGCGUGACAGUGAAGGGAACAACGGUUUGGAUCCAUGUGAUCAAGGACACAACUGUCAGCAUAUUUGUGUCAACAGUGGUGACUCGUACAUCUGCAAGUGUCGCCCUGGCUACAUCCUGAAUCCAGACAAGAAAACAUGCUCACGUGCAGAUGCUUGUACCCAGGGACAUGACUGCCAGCAUAUUUGUGUCAACACCCGCGACUCGUACAUGUGCCAGUGUAGAACUGGAUACGUGUUGAACACAGAUAAGAAAACAUGCUCACGUAUGGAUGCAUGUUCUUCAGAACAUAACUGCCAACAUAUUUGUGUCAAAAGUGGAGAUUCUUAUGUUUGCAUGUGUCGCAAAGGAUAUUUGUUGAACGCAGACAACAAAACAUGCUCACGUUCUGAUCCAUGUGCCCUUGGACACGAUUGCCAUCAUAUUUGUGAAAAUAGUGAUGCAUCAUAUGUCUGCAAGUGUCGGGCGGGAUAUGUGUUAAAUACAGACCAGAAAACGUGCUCACGUUCUGAUCCAUGUUCCCAUAGACAUGAUUGUCAGCACAUCUGUGUAAACAGUGAUGCUUCACACAUGUGCAAAUGUCAAGUGGGAUAUGUGUUGAAUCCAGAUAAAAAAACAUGCUCACGCUCAGACGCAUGUUCUCAGGGACAUGACUGCCAGCAUAUAUGUGUCAACAGUGGAAGCUCAUAUGUCUGCAAGUGUCGGCUGGGAUAUUCGCUCAACAUGGACAGGAAGACAUGCUCACGUUUGGAUGCAUGUAUUCAGGGACACGACUGCCAGCAUAUCUGUAUCAACAACGGUGUUUCUUACAACUGCAAGUGUCGAAUAGGAUACAUGCUAAAUUCAGACCAGAAAACAUGUUCACGUAAGUUUUUCUGUGUUCAUGGCACACUGUCCUCACACCUCAAGUUGCUUGGUUAUAGAUGAUCUCUUGGAGUUCCAAAUUUCCUGAAUAAACAGUCUGGCACGGGCUUCCCUACAACUGUUGGGGUGUCUAUGGAAAGUUACAUAACUGUCAAUACAGGCCUGUGUUAACACAAUGCUAAGGCAGAAAGAAAUCUACCCAUUUAUCCAGGGAAAGGCUGCAGGGCCAUGUCCAAACAAUUUAAUGACCAUCAUUCAACUGUGGGAAAGAUGAACUCAGUACAAUCUACUAAGGAGUUGGUAUCUUAGUGAAUUAACCCCUACUGUUAGUGUGCAAUGUUCAAAGAAAUUACACACAAAAAAGCAGAGCUUUAUCUCACACUCUAUUUAGGAUGGUCAUGUUAAAGGUGCAGUAUGUAACUUUUCUAAAAAAUAUAUACACAUGGUUUUUUUUACAUAUUUGUUAAAACUGCUACUAUAUUGUGACAGCAUAACAUGAGACAUAAUCUGGGAAAAAAGUUAGUUUUUCUGGCCUUUCCCUGAGGUCCUACUGACAUCUGCAGAAAUCCACAACUCAGUCAGAAACGUAUUGCUGUCAAUCACUCUCGUACAGACAAAAUCAGAAGCAUUGUUGCAAUUACCUGUUGAAGGUGAAAUGUUGGAAAGGAACAGAGGUUCAAUUUCAAGGUGUCAGAGUCCAAAGUCAAAUUUAAUGUUUGUAUUUUUAUAACCUCUGCAGGUAACAUAGUUACUAGAUUGUGUGAUAAAAUAGCAACAUGUGCCCUUUUAAUUAAGAGAGUUGUGCAUAAACAAAGAUCUGCAAAUCUAAACAAUCUGAAGAAAUGUUAGAGAAAAGAAGAAAUCCUUACACAACAAUCUAAGAGAGUGAUAAAACCUUACAGAUAGUUACUGCUAAGAGUGGUUUUACUAAAGACCUAACUUCAAACAGGGACUUUGUAGUUCAAUGUAGUCUUAACAUUUUUGCAUCAUGUACUUGAUUUCAGUUAUUUUUAAUCCAUUAGUUUAAAAAUUAUUACUGGCUUUAUUACAAAAAGGGCCAAUAGCUGUGCUUUUUACCUGCAGGAACAACUCCAAAACUAUUUGGGUUUAGCUCAUUUCUGCACCUUUAAAUUUAAAUGUGUGUUUUGUUUAUAACUACACAAAGAUCAGAAAUUGAUAAAAAGUAAGUAUUUAGUGGUUCUGCGCAGUUUAUAGACAAGGGUUCUGUAGGAAAACUUUUAACUAUUAAAAUGUUAAUUUCUUUGCAUAGUUAGUAACAUGUUGCUUUUAUAUUUGUCUGGAUGUCUUUUCAUUUAAUAAAUGUUGUGUGUCUUAAUGUCCCAUUUAAGGUGGACCUCAUUAAAGGAAAUGAGGAGUGAAAUUUCAGAAGAUGCCUGCAUGUGU